rnacentral:rRNA from 1 species
UACGAAGGGGGCUAGCGUUGUUCGGAUUUACUGGGCGUAAAGCGCACGUAGGCGGAUUGUUAAGUCGGGGGUGAAAUCCCAGGGCUCAACCCUGGAACUGCCUUCGAUACUGGCAAUCUAGAGUCCGGAAGAGGUGAGUGGAACUCCUAGUGUAGAGGUGGAAUUCGUAGAUAUUCGGAGGAACACCAGAAGCGAAGGCGGCUCACUGGCCCGAUACUGACGCUGAGGCGCGAAAGCGUGGGGAGCAAACAGG